AGGACCCAACUCUCUUGAAGGAGAAGGUUAAUCUUGUCUCCUUGGACCUUGGGUGUGGUUGUGUAUAUGUGAAUAUUGGAGCUUGAUUGGUGACUUUGAAAAGCUUGGAAAGGGUUUGGUGGUGAAAAAUCUGUUCUUGGAGGUGUUGAGGCCUUGAGAGCUUAUGGUUAAGUGGUUUGGAAGUGCUCUGGUGGAGCUUGGGAAAUUCGGCUAAGAUGCAGGACGUGAGGUGUCCCGCUGAUGCAUGCUGGAGACUUCUAGAUUUGCGAAGAUCCUUUGUUCUCGGGGCUAUGUUUUGGUUUAUAUGUUUUGCUUAGAUACUUUUAUCUCCAUUAAAUAAUACAAACUGUGAUGACUCCUCUUAUGGGAGAUUUUGGAGAAUAGAUUUUAUGUAUUUGUGUCCCUUUGGGUUUCCUUUGGGGUUUUCCUUAUUCUAUCAUAUGUAUAUAUUGCUAUGCUCGGACCGGUUAUCUUCGCAGCCGGAUCUUGAGUCUUGAUAUUCCUGUUUUUGACACUCCUUUGUAUAUAUGCAA